UACGUAGGGGGCAAGCGUUGUCCGGAAUCACUGGGCGUAAAGGGCGCGUAGGCGGCUCGGUAAGUAGGGGGUGAAAUCCUGCGGCUUAACCGCAGGGCUGCCUUCUAAACUGUCGAGCUUGAGCACGGUAGAGGCAGAUGGAAUUCCCGGUGUAGCGGUGGAAUGCGUAGAGAUCGGGAAGAACAUCAGUGGCGAAGGCGGUCUGCUGGGCCGUUGCUGACGCUGAGGCGCGACAGCGUGGGGAGCAAACAGG
rnacentral:rRNA from 1 species